rnacentral:rRNA from 1 species
AUUGGACGCUGGCGGCAUGCUUUACACAUGCAAGUCGAACGGCAGCGCGGGCUUCGGCCUGGCGGCGAGUGGCGAACGGGUGAGUAAUACAUCGGAACGUGCCCAGUAGUGGGGGAUAGCUCGGCGAAAGCCGGAUUAAUACCGCAUACGACCUGAGGGUGAAAGCGGGGGAUCUUCGGACCUCGCGCUAUUGGAGCGACCGAUGGCAGAUUAGCUAGUUGGUGGGGUAAAGGCCUACCAAGGCGACGAUCUGUAGCUGGUCUGAGAGGACGACCAGCCACACUGGGACUGAGACACGGCCCAGACUCCUACGGGAGGCAGCAGUGGGGAAUUUUGGACAAUGGGCGAAAGCCUGAUCCAGCAAUGCCGCGUGUGUGAUGAAGGCCUUCGGGUUGUAAAGCACUUUUGGCGGGAACGAAAAGGACUGUGCCAAUACCACGGUUCGAUGACGGUACCCGCAGAAUAAGCACCGGCUAACUACGUG